rnacentral:ncRNA from 1 species
GUGGUCACGCUGAAGUCCGAGACCGUGGGCCUGACCCGCGAACUGCCGGGCCGCACCAAUGCCUUCCUGGUUGCCGAAGUGCGCCCGCAGGUCAAUGGCAUCGUCGCCAAGCGCCUGUUCACCGAAGGCGGCAUGGUCAAGGCCGGCGAGCCGCUGUACCAGAUCGA